GUGAACGCUGGCGGUAGGCCUAACACAUGCAAGUCGAACGGCAGCACAGUAAGAGCUUGCUCUUACGGGUGGCGAGUGGCGGACGGGUGAGGAAUACAUCGGAAUCUACUUUUUCGUGGGGGAUAACGUAGGGAAACUUACGCUAAUACCGCAUACGACCUACGGGUGAAAGCAGGGGAUCUUCGGACCUUGCGCGAUUGAAUGAGCCGAUGUCGGAUUAGCUAGUUGGCGGGGUAAAGGCCCACCAAGGCGACGAUCCGUAGCUGGUCUGAGAGGAUGAUCAGCCACACUGGAACUGAGACACGGUCCAGACUCCUACGGGAGGCAGCAGUGGGGAAUAUUGGACAAUGGGCGCAAGCCUGAUCCAGCCAUACCGCGUGGGUGAAGAAGGCCUUCGGGUUGUAAAGCCCUUUUGUUGGAAAGAAAAGCAGCAGGUUAAUACCCCGCUGUUCUGACGGUACCCAAAGAAUAAGCACCGGCUAACUUCGUG
rnacentral:rRNA from 1 species